rnacentral:rRNA from 1 species
GACGAACGCUGGCGGCGUGCCUAAUACAUGCAAGUUGAGCGCUGAAGGUUGGUACUUGUACCAACUGGAUGAGCAGCGAACGGGUGAGUAACGCGUGGGGAAUCUGCCUUUGAGCGGGGGACAACAUUUGGAUACGAAUGCUAAUACCGCAUAAAAACUUUAAACACAAGUUUUAAGUUUGAAAGAUGCAAUUGCAUCACUCAAAGAUGAUCCCGCGUUGUAUUAGCUAGUUGGUGAGGUAAAGGCUCACCAAGGCGAUGAUACAUAGCCGACCUGAGAGGGUGAUCGGCCACAUUGGGACUGAGACACGGCCCAAACUCCUACGGGAGGCAGCAGUAGGGAAUCUUCGGCAAUGGACGAAAGUCUGACCGAGCAACGCCGCGUGAGUGAAGAAGGGUUUCGGAUCGUAAAACUCUGUUGGUAGAGAAGAACGUUGGUGAGAGUGGAAAGCUCAUCAAGUGACGGUAACUACACAGAAAGGGACGGCUAACUACGUG